rnacentral:rRNA from 1 species
GAUGAACGCUGGCGGCGUGCCUAACACAUGCAAGUCGAGCGAUUCUCUUCGGAGAAGAGCGGCGGACGGGUGAGUAACGCGUGGGUAACCUGCCCUGUACACACGGAUAACAUACCGAAAGGUAUGCUAAUACGGGAUAAUAUGCUUUAGUCGCAUGGCUGAAGUAUCAAAGCUCCGGCGGUACUGGAUGGACCCGCGUCUGAUUAGCUAGUUGGUAAGGUAAUGGCUUACCAAGGCGACGAUCAGUAGCCGACCUGAGAGGGUGAUCGGCCAAAUUGGAACUGAGACACGGUCCAAACUCCUACGGGAGGCAGCAGUGGGGAAUAUUGCACAAUGGGCGAAAGCCUGAUGCAGCAACGCCGCGUGAGCGAUGAAGGCCUUCGGGUCGUAAAGCUCUGUCCUCAAGGAAGAUAAUGACGGUACUUGAGGAGGAAGCCCCGGCUAACUACAUGCCAGCAGCCGCCGUAA